rnacentral:rRNA from 1 species
GACGAACGCUGGCGGCGUGCUUAACACAUGCAAGUCGAACGGAAAGGCCCUGCUUUUGUGGGGUGCUCGAGUGGCGAACGGGUGAGUAACACGUGAGUAACCUGUCCUUGACUUUGGGAUAACUUCAGGAAACUGGGGCUAAUACCGCAUAGGAGCUCUUGCUGCAUGGUGGGGGUUGGAAAGUUUCGGCGGUUGGGGAUGGACUCGCGGCUUAUCAGCUUGUUGGUGGGGUAGUGGCAUACCAAGGCUUUGACGGGUAGCCGGCCUGGGAGGGUGACCGGCCACGUCAGAACUGAGAUACGGCCCAGACUCCAACGGGAGGCAGCGGUGGGGAAUAUUGCACUAUGGGCUGGAGGCUGAUGCAACAACGCCGCGUGCGGGAUGACGGCCUUCGGGUUGUAAACCGCUUUCGCCUGUGACGAAGCGUGAGUGACGGUAAUGGGUAAAGAAGCACCGGCUAACUACGUG